rnacentral:lncRNA from 1 species
UAUCCUCCUGCGUGAGAGUUGGUUUAAGAAUUGCAGAUGGCGUCUUGUGAACGACGCCAUGCAUAUCAAAGUCGAUUCAUAACGCCUCAUCAUCCAGUAUGUCGUUUCCGUUUUAUAAAUUUCCAUGCGAGAAUUCUCUGUUUCUAUUCCACAUGUUUUCUCUUUCUACGAUUGUCAUCUUCCGCCGUCGAUCACAGCCCCCCAAAAAAAUUCUCAAACUGAUUUGGUGGGGAGAGCAUUCGCUUCUUCAUCUUUAUUUUUUGGGGAUCGGUUAAUGUUGGCCUUAUUCAACGGUAAUAAAACCAAUUGAGAUUUCUUUUUUAGGGUUCCUCAACAAAACCAAUUCAGUUUUCUGUUUUAGGAUUCCUUAAAAUUAGAAAACGACGCCGUGGUUUUCUAAUUUGUCUCGCUCCUGUUCUCUGGCCUCGCUCUCAAACUCUAAUAGUUGAUUUUUCAAUUUUUUGGUUGUUAUGGUUUUUUGAUAUUGUAGAUAUGAUUAUUUCAUCGUAUCUUUUUUUCAAUAAUUUAAAGUUUUUUAAUUUGUUGAAGUGGCUAUCUGUGUCUAUGUAUUUUUAAUCCUUUACUUUUUUUAAUUUACUUUUAUUUUUUUGAAGAUUUGACAGACCGUUUCUGAUGGGCAUGUUGAUUAUCGGCUUUGUAUCCACCAUCCAGGUGAAUUUCUUUUUUCUUUUCCUUUUUCAAAGAAGUUACCUAUUCGAAACACCUAAUUAAAUAAAGAUAUUAGGUUGGUGUAGUUUUGUAUUUGUCAAGAAUUACUAAUCAUAUUUGGUUGAUACUCACCAAUUUUUUAGAUUAAUGAAUGGCUGGAGUACGCCCCUAUCUUCUCUUCUGCUCCACAAUAUGAACAGACAUGGUUGAUUCAUCCUCAUCUGUUUGUUCCUAUUUUUGAUGUUUUCCAAACAUGUUUGUUUAAUAUGCCGUGUUAUUUUUGAAUAACUGUUUCUGUUGUGAAAUCAAUAUUAAUGGUUUUCGUAAUUGAUGAUAUGAUUUGGCAUAAAUUAACAUUACAUUUCAGGAUUAUAUACAUUUUUCUUGUUAGAAUAUCACCCUAUCAAUAUGCAUUUGUUUAUUUUAAAUAGGAUUGAAGAUAGUGAUGAAUGCAAUGAUAGAAAUGAGACUGGAGGAUUACUUGGAGGUUCAUCUUUGUGACCUGAGAUGUGUUUCAUUUUAG